rnacentral:lncRNA from 1 species
GUUGUGGAUUGGAUCUGAUUGUGGUGGCACCCUUUGCAAGUGCACAAAGGGGUGUGGGAUGAGUACUCAUUGCACCUUUCUUCAUGUGUUUUUGCACACCCACGCAAUGCUGGCCUAAAUACAGUUCAUAUUAAAAUUCAUAAAUCUGGUGUUGCUUUGAAUUAGUACAGCAGCAUGCCUCCUGGCAGACAUGUGGUGUGUUAACAAGCUGAAGGAAUCAGAAGGAAUCAGCUUUCCCAAAACUGCAGGUAGAGCAUUUCUAUCCUCCUAGUACAGAAAUGAAACAUUCUUCAUGCAAACCAACAUAUGCUUUAUUACUUCUGUCACUUAUGCUAUAUAUUCUACUCCUUGAAGAAAGGAGCUAUAAGAAAUCUUAAUGUUCGAAAGGAAUGAGUCCACGUGGUUUGGGAACAAUCCAACAGGACUCUAAAGAACAUGGGAUGGUUAAUGGGAGUGUUUUGGGCUAUACUGACACUACAUGAGCAGUGAUUUGAGAGACCAAUGUCAUAUAUUCUGAUUAUUCGAGAGGACAAUUGUAGUCUGUGGGAACAAAAAAAAUGGAAGAAGAAGAAACAACUAAACCUACAACCAUACUCCACAGUGCUUUGAUUUUUAAUUUUUUCCUCAUUUAUAAGUAUUUCGCAACGCCGUGUCACGUUUCACCUACCAGACGGCUCCCAGGAAAGCUGCAGUGACAGUGGGCUUGGAGACCAUGAACCCAGCAGCAGUGCUAGCACAUCGCAUCCUCUGCCCCUUGGUUUCCCCCAAGAGGAGUACUAUGAACAGGCUUCGCCCAACAGUCGGACAGAAGGAGAUGGCAAUUCGGACCCGGAGUCCAAGACACAGACUUUUGAAAGUGAUCAAGAUGGAAGUUCUACUUGGCUUUAACAGAACCAUGAAGACUUACUGUUUAUCCCUCCUGCCCUUGUACCAGGUGUGUUUUUAAUUAAGGAUUUUUAAAAAUUAUUGUACUCACCUGUAUUUUGCAAGAUCUCCCCCUUAAGUGAAAUAUAGCGUCAUUGUUCCAUGGAGUGUUUUAUAAAUUAACAUAUAGGCAAGCCCCUUUUAGAUGCAACUCCAGAGCCACACAUUGCAGAGCAGAAAGUGAGCAUUCUUCUUCAAGAGAUGUCCCUGUGGGUGCUCCACUCCAGGUGCUGGUGCGUCCCUGCGCCCUUGCUCGGAGAUUUUUGCAGCAGUACUUGUACCGGCCACGCAUGCGCAGAGGCUGCCCCCCCACU